rnacentral:rRNA from 1 species
GAGUUUGAUCCUGGCCAGGAUGAACGCUGGCGGCGUGCCUAAUACAUGCAAGUCGAGCGGUAACACUUCGGGUGACGAGCGGCGGACGGCUGAGUAACGCGUAGGAACGUACCCCAAAGUGAGGGAUAAGCACCAGAAAUGGUGUCUAAUACCGCAUGUGGUCUUCGGAUUAAAGCUUCGGCGCUUUGGGAACGGCCUGCGUAAGAUUAGCUUGUUGGUGAGGUAAUGGCUCACCAAGGCUACGAUCUUUAGCUGGUCUGAGAGGAUGAUCAGCCAGACUGGGACUGAGCCCCGGCCCAGACUCCUACGGGAGGCAGCAGUAGGGAAUUUUCCACAAUGGGCGAAAGCCUGAUGGAGCAACGCCGCGUCCAGGAUGAAUCCCUUCGGGUUGUAAACUGCUUUUAGAUGUGAAGACUUCGCCGGUAGCAUAUGAAUAAGGAUCGGGGAAUUCCGUGCCAGCAGCGCGGUAAAAGGGCGAA